rnacentral:lncRNA from 1 species
CCGAGGAGUCGGAGGCCCGGGCUCUGCCACUACACACUGUGGUCCCCGGGGCCUAGGCUGGGCUGGGCACCAGGGGCUGCAGGAUUUUCUCUGGGGAUGUUCUCACACUGGCCUUGGCCCCUAGAGGAGGGAGGAGAGAAUGGAUCCCUCUCAUACAUCAAUUCAAGGACAACCGAUUUUUCUCUAAGAGGAAGACACCCACACGAAAACCGGAAGGCAGCCUUGAGUGUCGUGUGAUAAGUUUAUCGGCGCCAUCUCGCCAGCCACCCCCUCCCCAGGGUCUCGAUCAAUGGGACACAGUGCGCCUCCAGUCUGAGAGGCUUCCUUGGGUGGGUGGUGGGACUGCAAGGUGGCCCUUUGGCAGAGUCUACAAGAGCUAAAUUAGGUCGCCAAGUGGCCCAUUACCCACAUAAUCUAGCCCUACCUUCCAGAACAACUGAGAAAUGCCUCAGUGGGCAGAGCCUCAAGUCCACCAGAUAACAGGCCCCAACUUGACCUCUUGUCAUCAGAAAUCACUGCCAAGUUUCCAAGCCAGGGAAAGAGCAACAGUCGUGAGGCCUGUUCCACGCACCCACCUAUGAUCCUCUCGCUGGAGGCAGAGAUCACCAGCCUAGAACAGAGCUGAAGAAAGACAGAUACUCUGUGUUGGAAAUUGCAAAAGCUCUCUGCAAGAACAACUCCAUCCGAACCCUGCCCUACGACACUCAACCAAGCUCUAGCAAAGCUUCUGGCAGCCUCAGGCCACACCCCUGGGACAACCCACCGCCGCUUUGCACUCCUGUGUGGAAAAGCUCAGGGCUGCCAAAAGAAUUCACCAUUUGUUCCAGCCAACACGUAAUAUCCUCUCCCUGGCAGAUCGAUGAUCAAUUACAGUGGGACCUUCAAUCCAGAUGGGGCUGGAGGAUCCUUUCUCAUGGUGAUUGCUACACUGAUCACAGAGGCCACCAGACCAAGAGGACACAGAGCUGCCCAUCCAGACAAGAUAAAACAGAAGCUGCCACUGCUCCCACGAGAGCCGCCUCCCACCGGAGCCUCUCCCCUUCCUCAGUGCACUCUUCACUGAGGAUUUAUUUGCUGGUGCUGUGGGGAGCCCAGGUCAGAUGCCCUGGCAGGACAGACUAAAUUCCUUCUAAAUUGAGGAAAGUGCCUCCUGUUGUGGAAGAAAAGGAAUAAGACCUUGGCUGGGCCCAGUGGCUCACGUCUGUAAUCCCAGCACUUUGGGAGGCUGAGGCGGGCUGGUCACUUGAGGCCAGGAGUUCGAGACCAGCCUGGCCAACAUGAUGAAACCCUGUCUCUACCAGAAAUAUAAAAAUUAGCCCAGCGUGGUGAUGGGUGCCUGUAGUCCCAGCUAGUCAAGAGGCUGAGGCAGGAGAAUCACUUGAACCUGGGAGGUGGAGGUUGCAGUGAGCUGAGAUCGUGCCACUGCACUCCAGCUUUGGCAACAGAGUAAGACUCUGUCUCAAAAAUAAAACAAAAUAAAAUUUUUUUUGAAAAAGAAAAAGAAACAAGACCUUGACAUUUUGGACUGUUAAGUUUUCUCCAUAAGGCCCACCUAAGACACAGAUCACAUUAUAUAGCAAAAGUGGAAGGGGACAGGGCAGCAGACUUUCCCAAGGCCACGGAAGCUAGUCAGAAGCCACUGUCCCUCUCCCACUUCAAACAGC